rnacentral:rRNA from 1 species
UACGUAGGGGCCGAGCGUUGUCCGGAUUUAUUGGGCGUAAAGAGCGUGUAGGCGGCCGCUUAAGUCCUGCGUGAAAUCUCGGAGCUCAACUCCGAGCGGUCGUGGGAAACUGGGCGGCUAGAGUGCGGGAGAGGAGAGUGGAAUUCCUGGUGUAGCGGUGAAAUGCGCAGAUAUCAGGAAGAACACCUAUGGCGAAGGCAGCUCUCUGGGACGGUACUGACGCUGAGACGCGAAAGCGUGGGGAGCGAACAGG